rnacentral:rRNA from 1 species
AAUAUUGGUCAAUGGGCGAAAGCCUGACCCAGCCAUGCCGCGAGCGUGAAUAAGGUCUUCGGUGUGAAAGUCAAAUUAAGUUGGGAGGAAGGGCCGUAAGUUAAUACCUUGCUGUUUUGACGUUACCGACAGAAUAAGGACUGGCUAACUUCGUGCCAUCAGCCGCGGUAAGACGAAGGGUGCAAGCGUUGAUCGGAAUUACUGGGCGUAAAGCGAGCGUAGGUGGUUUAUUAAGUUGGAAGUAAAAGCCCCGGGCUCAACCUGGGAACUGCUUUCAAAACUGGCAAGCUUAAGGAUGGCAGAGGGAGGUGGAAUUUCCUGGGGAGCGGGGAAAGGCGUAAAUAUAGGAAGGAACACCAGUGGCGAAGGCGACCACCUGGGCUAAUACUGACACUGAGGUGCGAAAGCGUGGGGAGCAAAA